rnacentral:rRNA from 19 species
UAGAUUUAUCUAUUACCCUAUCUGGGGAAUGGCUUGGCUUGGAACGCCGAUGAAGGACGUGGUAAGCUGCGAUAAGCCCAGGCGAGACGCAUACAGUCAUUGAACCUGGGAUUUCCGAAUGGGACUUCCUACUUUGUAAUCCGUUAAGGAUUGGGAACGCGGGGGAUUGAAGCAUCUUAGUACCCGCAGGAAGAGAAAUCAAUAGAGAUUCCGUUAUUAGAGGCGAUUGAACGCGGAUCAGAGCAAACUGAAUCCUUUCGGGGAGAUGUGGUGUUGUAGGGCCUCCUUUUCGCCUGUUGAGAAAAGCUGAAGUUGACUGGAACGUCACACUAUAGAGGGUGAAAGUCCCGUAAGCGUAAUCGAUUCAGGUUUGGAGUGUCCCUGAGUACCGUGCGUUGGAUAUCGCGCGGGAAUUUGGGAGGCAUCAACUUCCAACUCUAAAUACGUUCCAAGACCGAUAGUGUACUAGUACCGCGAGGGAAAGCUGAAAAGCACCUUUAAUCGGGUGUGAAAAGAGCCUGAAACCAGAUAGGUAUGGUAUGACACGGCCCCAAAGGCAACUAUUCUGAAGGAAACCGUCGCAAGGCGGCUGUACGAAGUAUAGAGCCAGGGUUGUGUCGUCCGUUUCGAAAAACGGGCCGGGGAGUAUAUUGUUGUGGCGAGCUUAAGAUCUUCACGAUCGUAGGCGUAGGGAAACCAACAAGUCCGCAAAAUCUUGAGGGACGGGGUCUUAAGGGCCCGGAGUCACAGCAAUAUGACCCGAAACCGGGCGAUCUAGGCCGGGGCAAGGUGAAGUCCCUCAACUGAGGGAUGGAGGCCUGCAGAGUUGUUGCCGUUCGAAGCACUCUUCUGACCUCGGUCUAGGGGUGAAAGGCCAAUCGAGCCCGGAGAUAGCUGGUUCCCUCCGAAGUGACUCUCAGGUCAGCCGGAGUUUAGAUAGUCGGCAAGGUAGAGCACUGAUAAGGUGGUUAGGGGAAGAAAUUCCUCGCUGUUUUGUCAAACUCCGAACUUGUCGUCGUCGCAUGCUCCGAGUGAGGGCAUACGGGUAAGCUGUAUGUCCGAGACGGGAAUAGCCGAGACUUGGGUUAAGGCCCCUAAGUGCCGAUUAAGUGUGAACACGAAGGGCGUCCUUGGUCUAAGACAGCAGGGAGGUUGGCUUAGAAGCAGCCAUCCUUUAACGAGUGCGUAACAGCUCACCUGUCGAGAUCAAGGGCCCCGAAAAUGGACGGGGCUAAAUCGGCCGCCGAGACCCAAGGGCACCGAAAGGUGAUCCUGUAGGGGGGCGUUCUGCGAGGGCAGAAGUUCGGCUGUGAAGUCGAGUGGACCUCGUAGAAAUGAAGAUCCCGGUAGUAGUAACAGCAUAAGUGGGGUGAGAAUCCCCACCGCCGAAGGGGCAAGGGUUCCACAGCAAUGUUUGUCAGCUGUGGGUAAGCCGGUCCUAACUCUCGAGUUAACUUCUUUGAGAGGAAAGGGAAACAGGUUAAUAUUCCUGUGCCAUCUAAAUACGCGUGGCAACACAAGGUUAGUUUCCGACGCUUCUGGGUAGGCUGAGUGUUCUUGUCUGGGCAUUCAAGCUUAUAAGUCCGGGGAGAGUUGUAAUAACGAGAACCGGAUGAAAGAGUGAUGAGCUCUCCGUUAGGAGGGUUCGGCCGAUCUCUGGAGCCCGUGAAAAGGGAAUUAACAAGGAUUUUAGAUGUCCGUACCCAGAACCGACACUGGUGCCCCUAGGUGAGUAUCCUAAGGCGUAGCGGAUGAAUCUAGUCGAGGGAAGUCGGCAAAUUGGCUCCGUAACUUCGGGAGAAGGAGUGCCAGUGAUCUUGUUUAUAUAUGGGAUCGCUGGUCGCAGUGACCAGGGAGGUCCGACUGUUUAAUACAAACAUAGGUCUUAGCGAGCCUGAAAAGGUGUGUACUAAGGCCGACGCCUGCCCAGUGCUGGUACGUGAACCCCGGUUCCAACCGGGCGAAGCGCCAGUAAACGGCGGGGGUAACUAUAACCCUCUUAAGGUAGCGAAAUUCCUUGUCGGGCAAGUUCCGACCUGCAUGAAUGGCGUAACGAGACCUCCACUGUCCCCGACUAGAAUCCGGUGAACCUACCAUUCCGGCGCAAAGGCCGGAGACUUCCAGUGGGAAGCGAAGACCCCGUGGAGCUUUACUGCAGCCUGUCGUUGGGGCAUGGUUGUGAGUGUACAGUGUAGGUGGGAGCCAUCGAAACCUUUUCGCCAGGAAAGGUGGAGGCGACCCUGGGACACCACCCUCUCAUGACCAUGUUCCUUACCCUUUUAGGGGACACCGGUAGGUGGGCAGUUUGGCUGGGGCGGUACCCUCCUAAAAAUGCAUCAGGAGGGCCCAAAGGUUGGCUCAAGCGGGUCAGGACUCCGCUGUUGAGUGUAAGGGCAAAAGCCAGCCUGACUUUGUUGCCAACAAAACGCAACGAAGAGGCGAAAGCCGGGCCUAACGAACCCCUGUGCCUCACUGAUGGGGGCCAGGGAUGACAAAAAAGCUACCCCGGGGAUAACAGAGUUGUCGCGGGCAAGAGCCCAUAUCGACCCCGCGGCUUGCUACCUCGAUGUCGGUUUUUCCCAUCCUGGGUCUGCAGCAGGACCCAAGGGUGGGGCUGUUCGCCCAUUAAAGGGGAUCAUGAGCUGGGUUUAGACCGUCGUGAGACAGGUUGGUUGCUAUCUGCUGGAUGUGUUGGUUGUCUGAGGGAAAGGUGGCUCUAGUACGAGAGGAACGGGCCGUCGGCGCCUCUAGUCGAUCGGUUGUCUGACAAGGCAUUGCCGAGCAGCCACGCGCCAAGAGAUAAGAGCUGAAAGCAUCUAAGCUCGAAAUUCAUCCUGAAAAUAGACAGCCGUUUCCUUCGGGAACGAGAACUCCUGUAGAAGACAGGUUUGAUAGGCUAGGGGUGUACGCAUCAAGGUUUUCCGAGAUGUUUAGCCCGCUAGUACUAACAGUUCGAGAGAUAACUUAG